rnacentral:rRNA from 1 species
UACGGAGGGUGCGAGCGUUGUCCGGAAUCAUUGGGCGUAAAGGGCGCGUAGGUGGCCCGGUCAGUUCGUGGUGAAAGCGCGGGGCUCAACUCCGCGUCGGCCAUGAAUACUGCUGGGCUUGAGCACUGUAGAGGCAGGCGGAAUUCCGGGUGUAGCGGUGGAAUGCGUAGAGAUCCGGAAGAACACCGGUGGCGAAGGCGGUCUGCUGGGCAGUAGCUGACGCUGAGGCGCGACAGCGUGGGGAGCAAACAGG